CCAUAGAGCAGACAACAGCAGAAGAUCACCAACAGGUCUUCAAUGCAACGAGAAAUUCUCGCACCCGGAGGCGUCCUUCAGCUGUCCCCUAAACAAAUAUAUACUGGUUCAGUGAUAAUGAACCCCAUACUAAACUCCAAAUUGUACACAAGAAACUAAAAGUUAAAAUAAUACAAGACUAACAAAGGCCAGAGGCUCCUGAUUUGGGACAGGCGCAAAAA
rnacentral:lncRNA from 1 species